rnacentral:rRNA from 1 species
UCCUACGGGAGGCAGCAGUGAGGAAUAUUGGACAAUGGGCGCAAGCCUGAUCCAGCCAUGCCGCGUGCAGGAUGACGGUCCUAUGGAUUGUAAACUGCUUUUAUACGAGAAGAAACAGUUCUACGUGUAGAGACUUGACGGUAUCGUAAGAAUAAGGAUCGGCUAACUCCGUGCCAGCAGCCGCGGUAAUACGGAGGAUCCAAGCGUUAUCCGGAAUCAUUGGGUUUAAAGGGUCCGUAGGCGGUCAGAUAAGUCAGUGGUGAAAGCCCAUCGCUCAACGGUGGAACGGCCAUUGAUACUGUCUGACUUGAAUUAUUAGGAAGUAACUAGAAUAUGUAGUGUAGCGGUGGAAUGCUUAGAGAUUACAUGGAAUACCAAUUGCGAAGGCAGGUUACUACUAAUUGAUUGACGCUGAUGGACGAAAGCGUGGGUGGCGAACAGGAUUAGAUACCCUGGUAGUCCACGCCGUAAACGAUGGAUACUAGCUGUUUGGGAGCAAUUUCAGUGGCUAAGCGAAAGUGAUAAGUAUCCCACCUGGGGAGUACGUUCGCAAGAAUGAAACUCAAAGGAAUUGACGGGGGCCCGCACAAGCGGUGGAGCAUGUGGUUUAAUUCGAUGAUACGCGAGGAACCUUACCAAGGCUUAAAUGUAGAUUGACCGGUUUGGAAACAGACUUUUCGCAAGACAAUUUACAAGGUGCUGCAUGGUUGUCGUCAGCUCGUGCCGUGAGGUGUCAGGUUAAGUCCUAUAACGAGCGCAACCCCUGUUGUUAGUUGCCAGCGAGUCAUGUCGGGAACUCUAACAAGACUGCCAGUGCAAACUGUGAGGAAGGUGGGGAUGACGUCAAAUCAUCACGGCCCUUACGCCUUGGGCUACACACGUGCUACAAUGGCCGGUACAGAGGGUUGCCAAGCCGCGAGGUGGAGCUAAUCCCAGAAAACCGAUCGUAGUCCGGAUCGCAGUCUGCAACUCGACUGCGUGAAGUCGGAAUCGCUAGUAAUCGCGAAUCAGAAUGUCGCGGUGAAUACGUUCCCGGGCCUUGUACACACCGCCAUCGGAUCCC